rnacentral:tRNA from 1 species
GGAGAGAUGCCCGAGAGGCCGAAGGGGCGCGAUUGGAAAUCGUGUGUUCCGUUAAUAGCGGGACCGUGGGUUCGAAUCCCACUCUCUCCGCCA